rnacentral:sRNA from 1 species
UUUACAUCUGUAGUUUAUAGGAUGAGCACCUCCGAAGGAGGUUUGAGCCGAGCGCAGCGAGACAACGUUGCUUUAGCAACGGCCCGCAGGGCAGCAUCACAGAUGCAGUAAUCCUCUCUCCACCACAU